GAUGAACGCUGGCGGCGUGCUUAACACAUGCAAGUCGAACGGAAAGGCCCAAGCUUGCUUGGGUACUCGAGGGGCGAACGGGGGAGUAACACGUGGGUGAUCUGCCCUGCACUUCGGGGGAAGCCUGGGAAACUGGGUCUAAUACCGGAUAGGACGAUGGUUUGGAUGCCAUUGUGGAAAGUUUUUACGGUUUGGGAUGAGCUUGCGGCCUAUCAGCUUGUUGGUGGGGUCAUGGCCUAGCAAGGCGUAGACGGGUAGCCGGCAUGAGGGGGGGUAGGCACAGCUGCGACAUUGGAGAGGGGCCAGAGUGCGGAGUGCUGCAGAAGGGGGGAAUGUUGAACAAUGGGCGAAAGCGUGAUGCAGGGACGCCGCGUGGGGGAUGAGGGCUUUCGGUUUGAAAGCUCCUUAGCCUAUUGACGAGGCGCUGUUGUGACGGUACCUGGAGAAGAAGCACCGGCUAACUACGUG
rnacentral:rRNA from 1 species